UGUCGCAAACUGAAGGCCACAGUAGAAGCACUGACCGUGCAUCCCUGUCAGAUUCCAAUGAAUCUGCAAAUUCUGCU
rnacentral:ribozyme from 1 species